UGCAAGUCGAACGAACUCUUCGGAGUUAGUGGCGGACGGGUGAGUAACACGUGGGAACGUGCCUUUAGGUUCGGAAUAACUCAGGGAAACUUGUGCUAAUACCGAAUGUGCCCUUCGGGGGAAAGAUUUAUCGCCUUUAGAGCGGCCCGCGUCUGAUUAGCUAGUUGGUGAGGUAAAGGCUCACCAAGGCGACGAUCAGUAGCUGGUCUGAGAGGAUGAUCAGCCACAUUGGGACUGAGACACGGCCCAAACUCCUACGGGAGGCAGCAGUGGGGAAUCUUGCGCAAUGGGCGAAAGCCUGACGCAGCCAUGCCGCGUGAAUGAUGAAGGUCUUAGGAUUGUAAAAUUCUUUCAGUAGGGACGAUAAUGACGGUACCUACAGAAGAAGCCCCGGCUAACUUCGUGCCAGCAGCCGCGGUAAUACGAAGGGGGCUAGCGUUGCUCGGAAUUACUGGGCGUAAAGGGAGCGUAGGCGGACAUUUAAGUCAGGGGUGAAAUCCCGGGGCUCAACCUCGGAAUUGCCUUUGAUACUGGGUGUCUUGAGUGUGAGAGAGGUAUGUGGAACUCCGAGUGUAGAGGUGAAAUUCGUAGAUAUUCGGAAGAACACCAGUGGCGAAGGCGACAUACUGGCUCAUUACUGACGCUGAGGCUCGAAAGCGUGGGGAGCAAACAGGAUUAGAUACCCUGGUAGUCCACGCCGUAAACGAUGAUUGCUAGUUGUCGGGAUGCAUGCAUUUCGGUGACGCAGCUAACGCAUUAAGCAAUCCGCCUGGGGAGUACGGUCGCAAGAUUAAAACUCAAAGGAAUUGAC
rnacentral:rRNA from 1 species